rnacentral:rRNA from 1 species
GCCUAAUCAUGCAAGUCGAGCGAAUGAUGAGGAGCUUGCUCCUCUGAUUUAGCGGCGGAGGGUGAAUAACACGUGGUGUAAUCUGCCUGUAAGACGGGGAUAACUCCGGGAAACCGGGGCUAAUACCGGAUAAUAAGAGAAGAAGCAUUUCUUCUUUUUGAAAGUCGGUUUCGGCUGACACUUACAGAUGAGCCCGCGGCGCAUUAGCUAGUUGGUGAGGUAACGGCUCACCAAGGCGACGAUGCGUAGCCGACCUGAGAGGGUGAUCGGCCACACUGGGACUGAGACACGGCCCAGACUCCUACGGGAGGCAGCAGUAGGGAAUCUUCGGCAAUGGGCGAAAGCCUGACCGAGCAACGCCGCGUGAGCGAUGAAGGCCUUCGGGUCGUAAAGCUCUGUUGUUAGAGAAGAACAAGUACGAGAGUAACUGCUCGUACCUUGACGGUACCUAACCAGAAAGCCACGGCUAA